rnacentral:rRNA from 1 species
CGCGUAGGUGGUUUGUUAAGCGAGAUGUGAAAGCCCCGGGCUUAACCUGGGAACGGCAUUUCGAACUGGCAAGCUAGAGUGUGGUAGAGGGUAGUGGAAUUUCCUGUGUAGCGAUGAAAUGCGUAGAUAUAGGAAGGAACACCAGUGGCGAAGGCGGCUACCUGGACCAACACUGACACUGAGGUGCGAAAGCGUGGGGAGCAAACA